CUAAGAUUUCCAAAGGAGACUAAAACUACCAAAAGGUCGAGACUAAGAUUUCAAAGAAAAACGGAACCAUCACUUUUUGGACGUGGUCAUGUGGAAGAUGCACGAAAAUAAAAUUACAAAAAUGUGGUUCAUCGCCAUGUCAACUUUGGUGUCGCAGCUUUCCAUUCUCUCCAUGCUGUUUGGCGGGUUUGAGGCCUAAGCCAGCCAUCGUAACAGCAAAGUUUUUCUUGUGCUGGACUUCCAGUCAUGUGAUUUGAUUGUUAACCUCCUGCCAUCAUCAACAAUCACAGUAUCAUCGCUUAGAUAAACAGCAUCCCAUUGGAGAAGCUACCGAUGCCGUCCGAGUUAAGGAUCUCUUCAAUUCCUCUUUCUUUAAAUGUCCUUGUGUACGCCCGUACGAAUGUGGGUGUAUUCACGAGGACACCCUUU